rnacentral:rRNA from 1 species
CCUACGGGUGACAGCAGUGAGGAAUAUUGGUCAAUGGACGAGAGUCUGAACCAGCCAAGUAGCGUGAAGGAUGACUGCCCUAUGGGUUUUAAACUUCUUUUAUAUGGGAAUAAAGUGUUCCACGUGUGGGAUUUUGUAUGUACCAUAUGAAUAAGGAUCGGCUAACUCCGUGCCAGCAGCCGCGGUAAUACGGAGGAUCCGAGCGUUAUCCGGAUUUAUUGGGUUUAAAGGGAGCGUAGGCGGAUUGUUAAGUCAGUUGUGAAAGUUUGCGGCUCAACCGUAAAAUUGCAGUUGAAACUGGCAGUCUUGAGUACAGUAGGGGUGGACGGAAUUCGUGGUGUAGCGGUGAAAUGCUUAGAUAUCACGAAGAACUCCGAUCGCGAAGGCAGCGUACUGGACUGAAACUGACGCUGAGGCUCGAAAGCGUGGGGAGCAAACAGGAUUAGAUACCCGGGUAGUC